ACCCCUAAAGAGAAUGAAAUAAAAGCCGGAAUAAAAGCUGCAAGAUAUAAAAAUACUUGGAGUGACCAGUGUAUCUCACAAACACUGUAACAGUGAAAGCAAAUGAUGCUUUGUAUCACAAAAAUGUACCUCUUUUCUACUCUAAAUCCAAUUACAUACUUUUCCCUUUGUCUCACUGACCCUUUCAUGAAGAAGGAAUAGUUCAUUUGUCUCAGCUGGUUCUAGGACACUGAUUGGAGAAUUGCUUCCAGCAAAAUACUUUAAAAUGUACUUAAUUUGAAAUCCAGCUGUAAUGGGGUUACUCAUAUGCUUACCAUUAAAUAUGCACUGAAGUGCUUUGCCAAAUUAGUCCCGAUAUUUGCACCUUUCAUGUUUCCAUAUGCUAAUAAGAAUUAAAUCUUCUAACACAUAACACAUGGUGUUUAUAAAUUGUGUAAAAUACAACUGCAGGGAUUUGACAGGUUAAAGUUUAUUAUAAAUAACGAGGAAUAAAUCAAACCCCAUUGGUGUAAUUGAUUCCUGCUGGUGAAAGAUUCCUUCUGAUUCCCAUAGUUCAUGCAUACAGAAGAGAAGAAUUAGGUAAAUGUUCCCUAGGAGAAGUGGGAGGAUCUUAUGAGCUACAAAACAACAGAUGUCUUUGUUCUAUAUCAAUCAUUUAAUUUGUGAUUAUUCUGCAGUAGGACGCUGCCCAUGAAGAAGUAAAUGGGAGCAUCUGUGGAAGCCUUUAAAAACUCCCUGCAUUAACUUUACGUGGCAAUGUUACACCUGAGCUGAGCCUGUCUUCUGGGAAGUUUUGGGUACACUUGAGGAAAUGGAGAUUUGGAUAGCUGGGAGAGAGAGAAAGGACCAGUGGCUUUCCUAAGAUGAACCAGUGGCUUGACAAGGCAGGGGAGCAGCAUUUGUUCCUUUGCUUUGCACUCCUGCACUCUGGUGGAUGCACCACGCAACUUUCAGACCUGCUUCAUUUUGAGCAAGAGAUACGCUCAAAACCAUCAGUGGAAUCAAGAAUUCCAGAGUAUAAAAUCAUGGACAGCCUCAAUAAACCACUUGAGCUGAUCUUGAACUCUGAACUCCAACUUCAGGGCACAUUUUGUAACAGAUAAAUGCUAAUGUGAGUGGACACGUUAUAUUUUAUGGUUCCAACAUCUUUUUUACUCUCUGCUACACUAGUGCUUAACUCUGAGCCCCUGUGUUUGUAUUUAAUAUGGAUUAAAUCUGUUCCUUAGGAAAUACUUGGAGCAUGAAAGCUGCUGUAUUAAAUUAGUUCAUUACAGCUUUACAUGCAUAACUGCAUAAACAUUCAUUUGCUUCCUACUUUGAUCACCUCUGAUCUUGGCUGUUAAUGCUACUGACUUCUACAAGCCUUUUUUCCCCUUGACUGUUUUUUAAUUCUGACUUGAAGUUGUCAAGAGCAGAUUCUGUUUAUUUCCCAUAGUAAUGGCUUGCCUUUAUUUCAAAUGGGUUUUACUUAGGUCAGUUCUGUUGGGGCAUUUUUGCAUCUGUGUUGAAAAAGCCUUGAUGUUCCAGCACUGUUUUGCUUCUGCUGUGUUUCACCUGAGCAAACACCUUGGUCUGUCACCGAAGGGCACUGCCUAAAUGCAAUGUGUAUUAUUUAUUUAUUAUCACAACACCGCCCUGACAAGCGGCCUCCCAAAUGCAUCAGAGAGCACAUUUGUCAUUCCAAUUUUCGUUGUACUCUUGCUGUGUAUUUUCUUCACUUAUGGCUUCUUGGAACAUUUCUGUGGUCUUUUUCUGUGAUUAGACACUAGGAGUUUAUACCAAAUUUAUAUGUUUCAGCCCUCUGCACCAGUCAUCUAUUAAUUAUUUCUUUCCAGUGCUCAGUGUACUGGGCUAACCACGGUGGGCACUCAGGCACCACAGAGCUGCUCCCUCACUUCGACCCUUACCCUGCCUGUGGUUCAGGAGAGGAAAAUGAGAAGCAAGGA